rnacentral:rRNA from 1 species
CCUACGGGGAGCAGCAGUGGGGAAUAUUGCACAAUGGGGGAAACCCUGAUGCAGCGACGCCGCGUGAGUGAAGAAGAAAUUCGGUAGGGAAAGCUCUAUCAGCAGGGAAGAAAAUGACGGUACCUGAGUAAGAAGCCCCGGCGAACUACGGGCCAGCAGCCGCGGUAAUACGUAGGGGGCAAGCGUUAUCCGGAUUUACUGGGUGUAAAGGGAGCGGAGCCGGCAGGGCUAGUCUGGAGUGAAAGGCGGGGGCUCCACCCCCGGACUGCUCUGGAAACUGUCCGGCUGGCGUGCAGUAGCGCUAAGUGGACUUCCUCGUGUAGCUGUGUCCUGCGUAGAUAUUAGGCG